UGUAAAAUUUCAAAGGUCGAACAGACCCAAUAUUUCAGCUUCUACACCAAAAAUUUAUUUUAAUCCAACAUCGAGGUCGCAAUCUUUUUUUUUAAUAUGAACUUUCUAAAAAAAUUACGCUGUUAUCCCUAAGGUAAUUUUAUCUUAUAAUCAAAAAUAUUGGAUCAUUUAUUCAUAAAUUUAUGAAACAAAAUAAAAAAAGUUAAUUUAAUUUUUCAAUCACCCCAAUUAAAUUAUUACAUAAAAAUAUCAAAUAAAUACUUAAAUAAUAUUUUUAUAAAAUAAUCAAACUCUAUAGGGUCUUCUCGUCUUUUAAUUAUAAUUAAGCUUUUUAACUUAAAAAUAAAAUUCUAUCUAAAUUUAAUAGAGACAGCUAUUCUUUUAUUCAACCCUUCAUUCCAGUUUUUAAUUAAAAAACUAAUGAUUAUGCUACCUUAGCACGGUCAAAAUACCACGGCCAUUUAAAACUUCAGUGGGCAGGUCAGACCUUAAAUUAUAAGCAAAAGGAC
rnacentral:rRNA from 1 species